rnacentral:rRNA from 1 species
GAGUUUGAUCCUGGCUCAGGAUGAACGCUAGCGGCAGGCUUAACACAUGCAAGUCGAACGGUAACAUUGGUGCUUGCGCCAGAUGACGAGUGGCGAACGGGUGCGUAACGCGUAUGCAAUCUACCUUUUACUGAAGAAUAGCUCAGAGAAAUUUGGAAUAAUCCUUCAUAAUAUCAUUUAUCAGCAUUGAUUUAUGAUUAAAGCUCCGGCGGUAAAAGAUGAGCAUGCGUCCUAUUAGUUUGUUGGUGAGGUAACGGCUCACCAAGACUACGAUAGGUAGGGGCCCUGAGAGGGGGAACCCCCACACUGGUACUGAGACACGGACCAGACUCCUACGGGAGGCAGCAGUGAGGAAUAUUGGACAAUGGAGGCAACACUGAUCCAGCCAUGCCGCGUGCAGGAUGACUGCCCUAUGGGUUGUAAACUGCUUUUAUAUAGGAAGAAACACUCCCACGUGUGGGGGCUUGACGGUACUAUAUGAAUAAGGAUCGGCUAACUCCGUGCCAGCAGCCGCGGUAAUACGGAGGAUCCAAGCGUUAUCCGGAAUCAUUGGGUUUAAAGGGUCCGCAGGCGGCCUGUUAAGUCAGAGGUGAAAGCCAACAGCUCAACUGUUGAACUGCCUUUGAUACUGAUAGGCUUGAGUUAUUGUGAAGUGGUUAGAAUGUGUGGUGUAGCGGUGAAAUGCUUAGAUAUCACACAGAAUACCCAUUGCGAAGGCAGAUCACUAACAAUAUACUGACGCUCAUGGACGAAAGCGUGGGGAGCGAACGGGAUUAGAUACCCCGGCAGUCCACGCCGUAAACGAUGGAUACUAACUGUUCGACCUUCGGGUUGAGUGGUCAAGCGAAAGUGAUAAGUAUCCCAUCUGGGGGAGUACGCUCGCAAGAGUGAAACUCAAAGGAAUUGACGGGGGCCCGCACAGCGGUGGAGCAUGGUGGUUUAAUCGAUGAUACGCGAGACUACAGGCUUAAAUGUAGUGGGACAGUCUAGAGAAUAGACCCUCUCGACUCAUACAGUGCCUGCAUGGAUGUCGUCAGCUCGGCGUGAAGGGUCAGGUUAGUCUAUACGAGCGCAACCUAUCGUAGUGCAACGGUAUGCGCACUUAGGAACUGCCGUCACUGAGUAGUGGCCAUGGACUCAUCAUUAUCA